UACGUAGGGUGCGAGCGUUGUCCGGAAUUAUUGGGCGUAAAGAGCUCGUAGGCGGUCUGUCGCGUCGAUCGUGAAAACUUGGGGCUUAACCCUGAGCUUGCGGUCGAUACGGGCAUGACUGGAGUUCGGCAGGGAAGACUGGAAUUCCUGGUGUAGCGGUGAAAUGCGCAGAUAUCAGGAGGAACACCGGUGGCGAAGGCGGGUCUCUGGGCCGAUACUGACGCUGAGGAGCGAAAGCGUGGGGAGCGAACAGG
rnacentral:rRNA from 1 species